rnacentral:lncRNA from 1 species
AUGCAAAGCUCACGGGACAGAGUACCAACUUCUGGGGCGACGUGGAGAGGCCUCAUGGAGGAGGAAGCAGCUGAGCUGAGUCACAAAGGAACGAAGGGAUGCCAAGAGGCAGAGGGGAGGGGAAAAGGCACUCCUGGCAUGGGGAGAGAAACACGGAAAAGGAUGGAGACAGGCGAUGGGACAGAAGCCUCCAUCCCAACCCUGGAUUACUCUGAGGACAUUUCAUAUUCCAUAGGACCUCCAGUCUCUCGGAGGGAAGCUUCUCCCCGAGGAAUUCAUUUAAAAAGAGAAUUGCCUAAAAGCAUAACUUGUGAUCCACUUGAUGACAAAAACUGACACCAUGGUGUGCCCAGAAUCUCUCAGAUUCAAGUAGCCAUUAUUUUGACAAUGCUUGGAGAUGAAGACUUUUUUUCUGUUUCUUCUAAUAAUGAAAAGACAAAUGUCUUCCCUGUGAACUCAUGAAGGAAAUCGUUUAAUGAGCCAAUUCAAUCUAGAGCCCAAAAUAAUGAUCUUCCCAAACAGGAAGAAUUGUGUUGACUGUUUAUGGACUGUUGGGAACGCCUUUGGGAGUUUUCUGUAUUUGUUAGCAGAUGCCUGUGCUGUCUGCUUUUUCUGUGGGAUAAAAUAAAGGUUGCACUAUUUGCA